GACGAACGCUGGCGGCGUGGAUUAGGCAUGCAAGUCGAACGGUAUCAUCCUUUCGGGGGUGAGAGAGUGGCGAACUGGUGAGUAACACGUAGGUUAUCUACCCUCAAGACGGGGACAACCCAGGGAAACUUGGGCUAAUACCGGAUGUGAGCAACUUUUAGUUGUUUGAAAGGUGGCGUAAGCUGUCGCUUGGGGAUGAGCCUGCGUCCUAUUAGUUAGUUGGUGAGGUAACGGCUCACCUAGGCAAUGAUAGGUAGGCGGCCUUAACGGGUGGUCGCCCACACUGGGAUUGAGAUACGGCCCAGACUCCUACGGGAGGCAGCAGUCGAGAAUAGUCUACAAUGGUCGGAAGACUGAUAGUGCGACGCCGCGUGAACGAAGAAGCCCUUCGGGGUGUAAAGUUCUUUUAUAUGUGAGCAGUGCUUUCUAUGUGAACAGCAUGGGGAGAGAGAUAUUAGCAUAUGAAUAAGCAACGGCUAACUCCGUGCCAGCAGCCGCGGUAAA
rnacentral:rRNA from 1 species